AAAGGUAAGCUACUAAGAGCGAAUGGUGGAUGCCUUGACUGGUAAAGGCGAUGAAGGACGUACUAGACUGCGAUAAGCUACGGGGAGCUGUCAAGAAGCUUUGAUCCGUAGAUUUCCGAAUGGGGCAACCCAAUGUAUAGAGAUAUACAUUACCUAUAUAGGAGCGAACGAGGGGAAUUGAAACAUCUUAGUACCCUCAGGAAAAGAAAUCAAUAGAGAUUGCGUCAGUAGCGGCGAGCGAAAGCGCAAGAGGGCAAACCCAGUGCUUGCACUGGGGGUUGUAGGACUGCAAUGUGCAAGAGCUGAGUUUAGCAGAACAUUCUGGAAAGUAUAGCCAUAGAGGGUGAUAGUCCCGUAUGCGAAAAACAAAGCUUAGCUAGCAGUAUCCUGAGUAGGGCGGGACACGAGGAAUCCUGUCUGAAUCCGGGUCGACCACGAUCCAACCCUAAAUACUAAUACCAGAUCGAUAGUGCACAAGUACCGUGAGGGAAAGGUGAAAAGAACUGAGGUGAUCAGAGUGAAAUAGAACCUGAAACCAUUUGCUUACAAUCAUUCAGAGCACUAUGUAGCAAUACAGUGUGAUGGACUGCCUUUUGCAUAAUGAGCCUGCGAGUUGUGGUGUCUGGCAAGGUUAAGCAAACGCGAAGCCGUAGCGAAAGCGAGUCUGAAUAGGGCGCUUAGUCAGAUGCUGCAGACCCGAAACGAAGUGAUCUAUCCAUGAGCAAGUUGAAGCUAGUGUAAGAACUAGUGGAGGACUGAACCCAUAGGCGUUGAAAAGCCCCGGGAUGACUUGUGGAUAGGGGUGAAAGGCCAAUCAAACUUCGUGAUAGCUGGUUCUCUCCGAAAUAUAUUUAGGUAUA
rnacentral:rRNA from 1 species